rnacentral:rRNA from 1 species
CCUACGGGUGGCAGCAGUGGGGGAUAUUGCACAAUGGGGGAAACCCUGAUGCAGCGACGCCGCGUGUGGGAAGACGGUCCUCUGGAUUGUAAACCACUGUCCCCAGGGACGAAGAUGACGGUACCUGGGGAGGAAGCUCCGGCUAACUACGUGCCAGCAGCCGCGGUAAUACGUAGGGAGCGAGCGUUGUCCGGAAUUACUGGGUGUAAAGGGAGCGUAGACGGCGUGCCAAGUCUGGUGUGAAAGGCCGGGGCUCAACCCCGGGACUGCAUUGGAAACUGGCAUGCUGGAGUGCCGGAGGGGCAAGCGGAAUUCCUAGUGUAGCGGUGAAAUGCGUAGAUAUUAGGAGGAACACCGGUGGCGAAGGCGGCUUGCUGGACGGUAACUGACGUUGAGGCUCGAAAGCGUGGGGAGCAAACAGGAUUAGAUACCCUAGUAGUC